rnacentral:rRNA from 1 species
GACGAACCGAGCGAACGUUGUUCGGAAUCACUGGGCUUAAAGGGCGCGUAGGCGGAUACUCAAGUCUGUGGUGAAAUCCUCCGGCUCAACCGGAGAACUGCCAUGGAUACUGGGUGUCUCGAGGGUGGUAGGGGUAUGCGGAACUAUCGGUGGAGCGGUGAAAUGCGUUGAUAUCGAUAGGAACUCCGGUGGCGAAGGCGGCAUACUGGACCACAUCUGACGCUGAGGCGCGAAAGCCAGGGGAGCGAACGGG